UACGUAGGGUGCGAGCGUUGUCCGGAAUUAUUGGGCGUAAAGAGCUCGUAGGCGGUCUGUUGCGUCCGCUGUGAAAACUCGGGGCUUAACCCCGAGCCUGCAGUGGAUACGGGCAGACUAGAGGUAGGUAGGGGAGAGUGGAAUUCCUGGUGUAGCGGUGAAAUGCGCAGAUAUCAGGAAGAACACCCGUGGCGAAGGCGGCUCUCUGGGACAGUACUGACGCUGAGACGCGAAAGCGUGGGGAGCGAACAGG
rnacentral:rRNA from 1 species